rnacentral:tRNA from 1 species
GGUUGUGGCUCAUUAGUAGAGUGCUUGCCUAGCAUGCAUGAGGCACUGGGUUUGAUCCCUGGCACUACCU